UACAGAGGUCUCAACCGUUGUUCGGAUUCAUUGGGCGUAAAGGGUGCGUAGGCGGUCGUGCAAGUCGGAUGUGAAAUCUCAGGGCUCAACCCUGAAACUGCAUUCGAUACUGCGUGGCUAGAGUGCUGGAGAGGAGACUGGAAUUUACGGUGUAGCAGUGAAAUGCGUAGAUAUCGUAAGGAAGCCCAGUGGCGAAGGCGAGUCUCUGGACAGCAACUGACGCUGAGGCACGAAGGCCAGGGGAGCAAACGGG
rnacentral:rRNA from 1 species